rnacentral:lncRNA from 1 species
CCAGGUCUCUGUGAGAUAUCACAAGAAUGUACAGAUGCCAGAAACAGAUUAAAACUCAUCUACCCCCAAACUGUACAAAUGUUUUCAUUAUUUAGCAUUCACAUUUUCAGAUUACCGUCUUUAAGAGAACAAUUUCCCAAACAUCGAUUUAUUUCAAGCUGACACAUUUCCCAUCAAAAUUAUCUACACAGGAUAGCGCUUGACCAUUUAAAACUAUGUUUUAUAUAUGACAAUAUCAGAAUGAAUACUGAACAAACAGUUCAAUAAGGCCAUAUCAUGUUUAUAAUGAAGGAAAAAGAAAAAGGAUUUAAAGCUACUCAUCCUGAAUUAACUUAUAAUAAUUCACAGAGAUUCCUUUUUGAAAUUAAGGAAGUGAGGGUAUAAUAAGAAAUAAUUUCUCUAUAAACAGCAAAAAUAAGUUAGCUUUCACUAAAGCAUAUAAUAUUAAACUAUCUAGAAUAAAUGGUAAGAAAGCAACAAGGAUGAGUAAAAUCUAAACAUAUAUGAUACUUUUAAAAAAAUGCAUCUAUAAUUCUUUUCAAGUCCUUUCAGCAAUUGGAUCCAGUCUUUUUUUUUUUUUUUUUUUUUUCAAUGUUCAGUUUCCUUUAAUGACCCCCAUCUCCCUGAAGGGCAGGUGCAGGCAGCUAGGUGAUGGCAAGAGAUGUUCACUUGAAGAUCUUGCCGUGAUUGAAGGCUUUGCCCACAUGCUGGAAGGCCCCCUCCCAGGAAAAGUACUCUCGAACCAGCGUCUGGGUCUCCUCUCUGCCAGGAUCCAGUUUCCGCCAUGUGUAUGACUCGUAGUCCACCUGCCAAUCUGGACUCAGCGGAAAGGCAAGCUCCUGGCCUCGGAAGACCCAGACUCCAGAAAUGGAGCUGCUAUUGUUGGUUCCAAAAAGGAUGACACUGGCGAAGGCAUUCUUCCUCAGCUUGUCCAGUCGCUGGAACAUUCCAGUGAUGAGAUUGCAGCUCAUGAAGGUCUGAGUGAGUUCUUCAGGGAAGCGAUACUCUGAGUACCACAGGGACCAGCCGUCCUUAUCAAAGUGCUCCCAGAAAUAUGGCAGUGCCACAGAGAGUGUGUCCUCAUUGGAGUACUUGCGCUUAAAUUCAUCCAACACAAAGGUACUCUUGGGCAGGUGAGCGAAGGGGUCCUUGGCCUUGGGCUCAGCAGCCAGCGCCUGCUCACAUUCAUCCAUCUCCUCCUCAGGAGCAGGGGCAGCCGCCUUUUUCUCCUCCUUCCGCUCAGCCUGGGGCUUCUGCUUCUCUUCCCGUGAACCCUUCUCUUUCCGUGGUGUGUCCUUUUUAGGCUGGGUCUCUGCAAACUUUUUAGCAUCAAACUGGGCCAUCUUCUCACACAGUUUCAGUUCCCCCAAGACAGCCCGGAACUGGGGCUGGUUAAUGCAGGUGAGGAACCAGCGGUUGGUAUUGCGAAAGGCCCGGCGGAAAGAAGGCUCUAGAACCUGCUUAUAGAGCCACAACAGGGUGCAGACAACUGUGAUGUCAGCCAAUGUCACUCGUUCGCCCACCAGAAAAGUCCUCGUCUUCAAGUAUCCUGCCCAUAUACCAUUAUAAGACUAUGUGUUCUUAAAAGGUAAAUUACAAUCAAACAUCUGUAUUAUAUUAUAUGAUAUAUUAUAUUAUAGAAAAAUGCAAUCAUAUACCUUUAUAACAUUUGGGAAAGCAGAAUUUACAGCACACAGUUUCUUAUGUACACUAUCUAGAAGCACACCAUACAA